GAUGAACGCUGACAGAAUGCUUAACACAUGCAAGUCAACUUGAAUUUGGGUUUUUAGCUUAGAUUUGGGUGGCGGACGGGUGAGUAACGCGUAAAGAACUUGCCUCACAGCUAGGGACAACAUUUAGAAAUGAAUGCUAAUACCUGAUAUUAUGAUUUUAAGGCAUCUUAGAAUUAUGAAAGCUAUAAGCACUGUGAGAGAGCUUUGCGUCCCAUUAGCUAGUUGGAGAGGUAACAGCUCACCAAGGCGAUGAUGGGUAGCCGGCCUGAGAGGGUGAACGGCCACAAGGGGACUGAGACACGGCCCUUACUCCUACGGGAGGCAGCAGUGGGGAAUAUUGGACAAUGGACCGAGAGUCUGAUCCAGCAAUUCUGUGUGCACGAUGAAGUUUUUCGGAAUGUAAAGUGCUUUCAGUUGGGAAGAAAGAAAUGACGGUACCAACAGAAGAAGUGACGGCUAAAUACGUGCCAGCAGCCGCGGUAAUACGUAUGUCACGAGCGUUAUCCGGAUUUAUUGGGCGUAAGGCGCGUCUAGGUGGUUAUGUAAGUCUGAUGUGAAAAUGCAGGGCUCAACUCUGUAUUGCGUUGGAAACUGUGUAACUAGAGUACUGGAGAGGUAAGCGGAACUACAAGUGUAGAGGUGAAAUUCGUAGAUAUUUGUAGGAAUGCCGAUGGGGAAGCCAGCUUACUGGACAGAUACUGACGCUGAAGCGCGAAAGCGUGGGUAGCAAACAGG
rnacentral:rRNA from 1 species